rnacentral:rRNA from 1 species
CCUACGGGCGGCAGCAGUAGGGAAUCUUCCACAAUGGACGCAAGCCUGAUGGAGCAACGCCGCGUGUGUGAUGAAGGGUUUCGGCUCGUAAAACACUGUUGUAAGAGAAGAAUGACAUUGAGAGUAACUGUUAAGUGUGUGACGGUAUCUUACCAGAAAGGAACGGCUAAAUACGUGCCAGCAGCCGCGGUAAUACGUAUGGUCCAAGCGUUAUCCGGAUUUAUUGGGCGUAAAGCGAGCGCAGACGGUUAGUUAAGUCCGAAGUGAAAACCCACGGCUUAACCGUGGAAGUGCUUUGGGAACUGGAAGACUUGAGUGCAGUAGAGGAGAGUGGAACUCCAUGUGUAGCGGUGGAAUGCGGAGAUAUAAGGAGGAACACCAGUGGCGAAGGCGGCUCUCUGGACUGUAACUGACGCUGAGGCUCGAAAGCGUGGGUAGCAAACAGGAUUAGAUACCCGGGUAGUC